rnacentral:rRNA from 1 species
GACGAACGCUGGCGGCGCGCCUAACACAUGCAAGUCGAACGAGCGAGAGAGAGCUUGCUUUCUCGAGCGAGUGGCGAACGGGUGAGUAACGCGUGAGGAACCUACCUCAAAGAGGGGGACAACAGUUGGAAACGACUGCUAAUACCGCAUAAGCCCACAGCUCGGCAUCGAGCAGAGGGAAAGGGAGCAAUCCGCUUUGAGAUGGCCUCGCGUCCGAUUAGCUAGUUGGUGAGGUAAUGGCCCACCAAGGCAACGAUCGGUAGCCGGACUGAGAGGUUGAACGGCCACAUUGGGACUGAGACACGGCCCAGACUCCUACGGGAGGCAGCAGUGGGGAAUAUUGCACAAUGGGGGAAACCCUGAUGCAGCGACGCCGCGUGGAGGAAGAAGGUCUUCGGAUUGUAAACUCCUGUUGUUGAGGAAGAUAAUGACGGUACUCAACAAGGAAGUGACGGCUAACUACGUGCCAGCAGCCGCGGUAAAACGUAGGUCACAAGCGUUGUCCGGAAUUACUGGGUGUAAAGGGAGCGCAGGCGGGAAGACAAGUUGGAAGUGAAAUCUAUGGGCUCAACCCAUAAACUGCUUUCAAAACUGUUUUUCUUGAGUAGUGCAGAGGUAGGCGGAAUUCCCGGUGUAGCGGUGGAAUGCGUAGAUAUCGGGAGGAACACCAGUGGCGAAGGCGGCCUACUGGGCACCAACUGACGCUGAGGCUCGAAAGUGUGGGUAGCAAACAGGAUUAGAUACCCUGGUAGUCCACACCGUAAACGAUGAUUACUAGGUGUUGGAGGAUUGACCCCUUCAGUGCCGCAGUUAACACAAUAAGUAAUCCACCUGGGGAGUACGACCGCAAGGUUGAAACUCAAAGGAAUUGACGGGGGCCCGCACAAGCAGUGGAGUAUGUGGUUUAAUUCGACGCAACGCGAAGAACCUUACCAAGUCUUGACAUCCCUUGACGAACAUAGAAAUAUGUUUUCUCUUCGGAGCAAGGAGACAGGUGGUGCAUGGUUGUCGUCAGCUCGUGUCGUGAGAUGUUGGGUUAAGUCCCGCAACGAGCGCAACCCUUACUGUCAGUUACUACGCAAGAGGACUCUGGCAGGACUGCCGUUGACAAAACGGAGGAAGGUGGGGAUGACGUCAAAUCAUCAUGCCCUUUAUGACUUGGGCUACACACGUACUACAAUGGCGUUAAACAAAGAGAAGCAAGACCGCGAGGUGGAGCAAAACUCAGAAACAACGUCCCAGUUCGGACUGCAGGCUGCAACUCGCCUGCACGAAGUCGGAAUUGCUAGUAAUCGUGGAUCAGCAUGCCACGGUGAAUACGUUCCCGGGCCUU